rnacentral:rRNA from 1 species
CUCGUAGGCGGUUCGACAAGUCGGGUGUGAAACCUCCAGGCUCAACCUGGAGUCGCCACUCGAAACUGUUGUGACUAGAGUCCGGUAGGGGAGCAUGGAAUUCCUGGUGUAGCGGUGGAAUGCGCAGAUAUCAGGAGGAACACCAGUGGCGAAGGCGAUGCUCUGGGCCGGUACUGACGCUGAGGAGCGAAAGCAUGGGGAGCGAACAGGAUUAGAUACCCUGGUAGUCCAUGCCGUAAACGUUGGGCACUAGGUGUGGGACCCCCUCAACGGGUUCCGUGCCGUAGCUAACGCAUUAAGUGCCCCGCCUGGGGAGUACGGCCGCAAGGCUAAA